AGAACGCCGCGAAACGCGAUAUGUAAUGUGAAUUGCAGGAUUAAGUGAAUCAUCAAAUCUUUGAACGCAAAUGGCUGCUCAGACUCUUUCAGUUUGAGCAUACCUGGUUCAGACCCAUUUCUCAAAAUCAUCUAUGCAUCAUAGAGGAGACUGGGUGUUGCAUCUAACCGUGCAUCACUUUAAGAGUUAAAACUCGUGGUUGCGAUUGAGACUUCAUGACUCUGAUCAAACCCGCUGAGGUAGUCUUGUAUUAUCAACGCGAUUUGAUCCCAUAAGACUCUCGCACCUUAACACCUAGUGUUAUUUUAGCUCCGAGC
rnacentral:rRNA from 1 species